GGUGAACAGCCUCUUUUGCCGGUAUUCAGUGAAGCAAGGCAAGUCUAAAUAUGCAGUUCUCUCACUGGAGUGAACGAUGUUUUGUUCAUUUCUAAUCAACUAUGCUAGACAGCUGCAAGCUGAAAAGUGCCUGCAAUUUGCCAUUUAUUUGUAAUAAGUUAUACCUGGAAGGAAUAACUUGGUAUUUGCACAACUGAGUGUAUGAGAUCCUACUCCAUCCACAGCUGUGCACCUGUGACCAUGAGAUUAUUCGAAUGUUUGAAGGGAUAAAAUACACAAAAUAAACGCUGCUGGAACCAGUAAUGCAGAAGUCCCCUUGGCUGAUCCCGGAAUGUACCAGUUGGACAUUACAUUAAGAAGGGGUCAAAGUUUAGCUGCUCGAGAUCGAGGAG
rnacentral:sRNA from 1 species